CCUACGGGGGGCAGCAGUGGGGAAUAUUGCACAAUGGGGGAAACCCUGAUGCAGCGACGCCGCGUGCGCGAUGAAGUAUUUCGGUAUGUAAAGCUCUAUCAGCAGGGAAGAAAAUGACGGUACCUGACUAAGAAGCCCCGGCUAACUACGUGACAGCAGCCGCGGUACUACGUGGGGGGCAACCGUUAUCCGGAUUUACUGGGUGUAAACGGAGCGUAGGCGGUCCUGCAAGCCAGGUGUGAAAGCCCGGGGCUCAACCCCGGGACUGAAUUUGAAACUGUAAGGCUAGAGUGUCGGAGAGGCAGGCGGAAUUCGUGGUGUAGCGGUGAAAUGCGUAGAUAUUAGGAGGAACACCAGUGGCGAAGGCGGCCUGCUGGACGACGACUGACGUUGAGGCUCGAAGGCGUGGGGAGCAAACAGGAUUAGAUACCCCUGUAGUC
rnacentral:rRNA from 1 species